UCACAACCUGGCUCAAGGGCCAUGGCAAAAAAGGGAACGAGGCAGCAUAACGGCUCAAAAAGGGAUUUAUUUUAUACAAAGGAAUCAACUAAACAUUUAUUUGGUAACGGAUAACUUAAAUAAAACAAGCGGGGUAAUCAAGCCAUAGUUGACACCGCGUGUUGUGGCGAAGAGCUAGCCGUGUAGUCCGAUCAGGUGGGCUUUAUCACCCUUGGCUCACCACUCCCAGGUGCCCCAGAUCUGCAAUCAACUAAAUACAAAGAUGUUACUACCAGAGAAGUAUCACUCCCACAGAGUGGCCUUAAUGAACCACACGGAGGCCGUCACACAUUCGUAAUGCACAUUAGGGCAGUUGAGUUUUUUUCCUCCAGCGAGUGUUCACACCUGUACUUGGUCCUCUGCUGAGCUAAUGUACGGUCAUUUUACAUUCCAUUUAGACAUGGACGGUUUUCUCCCAGUGCUCAGGGUUUUCCUCAAAAAGAAUCUUUCUUAAUCGAUUAAUACAUUCGUUCUGCUAUAAAAGUAGAGUCCAUCACUUAUCCGAGAGUACAGUUCCAGAACCAAGGCUGUGCAUAGAGAAGAUAUGGCCCAGCGUCCGCGUCCCCCCAACCCUUUGACAGGAACACACCCCUGUACCCGCCCCCUGGACCGCGUCCACCCUUGACAAAAUGUCACGCCAAGUUUUCUUGAAAACUCGACAGCCCCGAUAUGAAAGAAUAUUGAACUAGGGCCAGAUUAACACUUCGCAACAUGCAAGCAAUAUGCGAUUCCAGUGGACGAUUCCUAGAUGUAUUCAUUGGCUAUCCAGGAUACCCCUCUCUGCUUGAUCACACCCUACAAAGAGCCAGUGAUUGGACAAGUUCAGGGACGCUUCAAUUACUACCAGUCAAGGGCCCGCAGUAUAAUUGAAAGGGCUUUUGGGGUCAUGAAAACAAGAUGGAGAUCUACACUUUUCAAAGCCUUGAAAAACCAACAUUGUGAAACCAACAUUUGCACCCCAGGUCAUUGCUUCCUGUGUAUAAUGUGUGUUUAGACAACAGGGACAUGCUCGAGCCAGAUGACAUUUCAAGGGACAAUUUUGACGUCCAACCUCCCUGUGAAGCCUUGGCAUACAGCGAAACCUCUGGGAAUGCUACAAGGGACAGACUGGCUGCCCUAGUUUCAGGCAUUGUAUGAACUCAUGAAGAUGACCCAGAUGUGUAUUUUUGUCUGUGUAUGAUAUUUGCAAUAAAAUGUUU
ensembl:lncRNA